rnacentral:rRNA from 1 species
UACGUAGGGUGCAAGCGUUAAUCGGAAUUACUGGGCGUAAAGCGUGCGCAGGCGGUUUUGUAAGCCAGAUGUGAAAUCCCCGGGCUCAACCUGGGAAUGGCAUUUGGGACUGCAAGGCUCGAGUUUGGCAGAGGAGACUGGAAUUCCUGGUGUAGCAGUGAAAUGCGUUGAUAUCAUCAGGAACACCGGUGGCGAAAGCGGCUUACUGGGUCUCUUCUGACGCUGAGAAACGAAAGCUAGGGUAGCGAACGGG